GUAAAGAUGCAGAAUUUACUGUGGUUUUCCGUAUUUUUUCUUACUUUGGGACUGUAUCAAUCCACAGCCAUUGAAAGUGCUUCGUACCGGCAGUAUUUCCAACGAGUUCUGAAUGAUCUUCAAAAUGCGGGCCAGGAUCCUCCAGCCGGUGGUAUUGAGGAAGUUCCAUUGAUGAUGACUGCAAGGCGAGGAGGAAUGUACAAUAUAAAUGUCAGACGACAACGGCCAUGUAAACGCAGAUGGUGGAGGCGAUGUUAAGCAGUAACUCACACCGCUGAUAUGUACAUCAACAGACUGUAAAUAAACAAUGUGUCCACUCCGAUAUUACUCCAUGAUUCUAUUGUUUUCUAUCCCCAUAGUAUAAAGAAACUAGACAUUUAGUUCUUACACAUGUAUUCAUAUUUGUGACACAACUUAAUAUUUCUUCAUGUUCACUUGAGAGGUCAUUGGCGCGUCACAGUUCCUAUAUUGAGAAAUAUGAUAAAAUGAAACAACAAAAAUGUAUUGCUGACUAAACAUUGGUGAAUGUGAAUAUUCCAGUAUGGAAAACUAAGAUUACUGAUUUAAUCUGCAUAUCAUGGUCAAUGUCCAAUCGUGGAUUUGUACCAGUGUGUGAGGUGGCUCUCCUUGAUCUUGUUCAGGAAGCAUUGAUAAUGAUGACAAAUACGUGUGGAAGCAUUAAAAUACGCGUGGAAGCAUUAAAAUACGCGUGGAAGCAUUAAAAUACGUGUGGAAGCAUUAAAAUAUGUGUGGAAGCAUUAAUACUCACGUGUGUAAUAUUGGACAGAACUCAGUCUGAAAUAAACCAUAUAUUAAGCACUGAAAA